GUCAGCGACUUAUAUUCUGUAGCAAGGUUAACCGAAUAGGGGAGCCGAAGGGAAACCGAGUCUUAACUGGGCGUUAAGUUGCAGGGUAUAGACCCGAAACCCGGUGAUCUAGCCAUGGGCAGGUUGAAGGUUGGGUAACACUAACUGGAGGACCGAACCGACUAAUGUUGAAAAAUUAGCGGAUGACUUGUGGCUGGGGGUGAAAGGCCAAUCAAACCGGGAGAUAGCUGGUUCUCCCCGAAAGCUAUUUAGGUAGCGCCUCGUGAAUUCAUCUCCGGGGGUAGAGCACUGUUUCGGCAAGGGGGUCAUCCCGACUUACCAACCCGAUGCAAACUGCGAAUACCGGAGAAUGUUAUCACGGGAGACACACGGCGGGUGCUAACGUCCGUCGUGAAGAGGGAAACAACCCAGACCGCCAGCUAAGGUCCCAAAGUCAUGGUUAAGUGGGAAACGAUGUGGGAAGGCCCAGACAGCCAGGAUGUUGGCUUAGAAGCAGCCAUCAUUUAAAGAAAGCGUAAUAGCUCACUGGUCGAGUCGGCCUGCGCGGAAGAUGUAACGGGGCUAAACCAUGCAC
rnacentral:rRNA from 1 species